UACGAAGGGGGCUAGCGUUGCUCGGAAUUACUGGGCGUAAAGCGCACGUAGGCGGAUUGUUAAGUCGGGGGUGAAAUCCUGGAGCUCAACUCCAGAACUGCCUUCGAUACUGGCGAUCUCGAGUUCGGGAGAGGUGGGUGGAACUGCGAGUGUAGAGGUGAAAUUCGUAGAUAUUCGCAAGAACACCAGUGGCGAAGGCGGCUCACUGGCCCGAUACUGACGCUGAGGCACGAAAGCGUGGGGAGCAAACAGG
rnacentral:rRNA from 1 species